rnacentral:rRNA from 1 species
UAGUCCAUGCCGUAAACGGUGGGCGCUAGGUGUGAGGGUCUUCCACGACUUUCGUGCCGUAGCUAACGCAUUAAGCGCCCCGCCUGGGGAGUACGGCCGCAAGGCUAAAACUCAAAGGAAUUGACGGGGGCCCGCACAAGCGGCGGAGCAUGUGGAUUAAUUCGAUGCAACGCGAAGAACCUUACCUGGGCUUGACAUACACCGGACCGGGCCAGAGAUGGUCUUUCCCUUGUGGCUGGUGUAC